ensembl:lncRNA
UAUAUAUAUACACACAUAUAUAUAUAUAGUACCAUACAUAUGGGUACAUACUCUGAUAAAUGGGAUAAAAUACAUUUUUAUCAAUUAUGAAUGCUUUGAAGUAUUUCAUAGAAGUUCAUAGAUAAGAUUUCUAAUCGGCUCUUGUGUCACUCUCAUACUAAAUGUAGCUACAACAUGGACAUCAAAGGAAAUGCAUUGUGAAAGAAAUGCUAUGUAAGCAUUUGAAAAUAAAUUCAAAAACCAUGUGGAAAAAGUCACUAGUUAUUGUUCAGGGCUAAAAAAUGUUUUCUUUAUGUCCCUCACUCAGCCUCCAGGAACUGUAUUGUUCUCCCAUCAUCUCUUCUUUUAUUCCAUCUCAUUCUCUUCGUCUGACUGGUGCCCUCUCUCAGCAGUGGAGGGUAAUUAAAGUGGUCAGGGCCAUUCCGUUACCCGAGGGGUGGGAGACAUAUUCAAAGGCUGGCAAGAUCAAAAUGAAAACCAAUUAGCGCUGGGGUUCUGUCCUUUUAUAAUGCAUGGAAAGUUGGCCAGCUUAUUGGCUGGCCUCUGUCUUUUGCUCAAUGUAGAGAGCGCUCCCUAGCAGCCUCGGGUUGGAUUGGGGUUAAAGUAGAAAAGGUGGAGGCGCACGAGGGAAUGGAGGAGCCGUCUGUAUCAGGAGUGAAUAAAGAGGUGCUCGUUUUGGCAUACGUGUACCAAAAGGACACAUAUGAAGUGAUAAUCUGACAUCAGAUUCAUUGUGGAUUAAGGGUGAUGUUAGAGUGACGCGUGACGUUGGCCACAAUCCUUAAAGAAUGGAAAAAAACAAUGGAGAUGAUAUAGACAGAGGAGAAGCAACUGUACAGUAAUGUACGUGAAAGGGAAAUCCUUUGAGACAAGUUAUUCAUCUAUUUAAAUGCCCAAGGGCUAGUGUGUCUUACAAUGCUUAACAUGGAUAAAUUGAAGUAAUUAGUAUGUAUUUCCCUCUGGCAAAUGUUGGAUGAUCACCACGCAUUCACUUAGUAGAUGUGGAUCGAAGUCUAAGCAGGACCCUGAUACACUCAUUCAAUGGAUUGGAAAAGAGAAAAUUUAGACCACAACAUGAUGAAAAUACCAAUAAAUAUGAUAAAAAUUCAAUGCCCAAAACUGAUGUUAAGGGAAUUAAGGCUAAAAUGAUGGUUUUAAUAACAGGCAAAGGCUCUAAACACAAAUUUUGUUUCUAGAAAAUGACAAUAAAAUAAUAUCAUGGCUCAACAUUGAUUUCUGCACAUUCAUCAAUAGCUGCUUUGGAUGUGAGCCAGGGGUUUUCCGAGUUGAUACAAACCAUUCUGUCUUAACAAAUUGACACUGUAGUUACCACUUUAGAAGCGCUCCGCCACAUUGAAGGCUUUUUUAGUAUUUCCACCCUAUUCCUAAAUAACUUGCUCCACUGUCAGUUUGCUGAAAUUAUGCCAUCUGCCCUGAUGAGGACUAUCCUGACAAUAACAAGCCCUUUGAUCAAAUUACCAUUGCGCGAUGAUAUGAAUGGUUAGCCUUUUAACUUUGAGACAUUAGUAUUAGAUCUGCUGUGGCUAAAAAAUUAUGCAAAGCUACAAAUUUCAUUCUAAAUAAAAAAGUUAAAAUAUAUGUACGGUAACUUUAAUGUUCAAUUAAAAAUGCACUGUUUGGAGUCAGAACAGUGCAUUUUUUGGACACUAAACACCCAAAAAUAUAUUGUUUAUUAUCUCAUGUCAUAGUAAUCACCCAGCUUUUACUGAAAGUCUUAAUAAUUCAUUAAACUGGAGGGUGAUACCACACCAUGCAUGUAGUUUUGUUGUUUGGAUCAUAGCACACAGGCUUUUGAUGAGGGAUUUGAUGAUGAAGGAUUUAACCUAAUAUAUAAUAUAUGAAACAAAAAAUUGGCAUUUGGUUUGCACAGGGAUCAAUUGACACAUGGCACUUUAAGCGAUAGAAGCUUCAAGUUUUUUGUUUUAGCUCUGUUUCAGCAAUUCAAUGAACGUCUGCGCUGUCACCCGGGCUUCAUGAAAAAAAUCAAUACCUUCUGAGAUUUGAAGGCCAGAGCGGUCAUGUGCCUGUGUUAUCUACCACACUUCUUAAGUGUGACUUGAGACCAAAACCCAAGACAGAUGUUGGUUUAAUCUACCCAAAGAGCAAUGGGAGUAUCUAUUCCUUUAUUUCUGAGGUCUGGGGUUUGUAACCCUCCAUGUCGUUGUGAUGGAGACGUGUUAUUUAUUUAGUCUGUGCCUUAAUUGGUUUUCCACUCUGUCCUUUGGGCAAUGUGCAGAUCAAUCUAUUCCUCAGUGGAUGGGAGGGGUGUGACUUUACUGCUACAGUUUGAUUUGACAAUUGGAACUGUAAUCUUUUAAUACAGUUGGUAUCAUAUUCCUAUUUACCAAUAACAAUGGUGAUUACAUAUUGUACUGUAUGAAGGGAUAUUCUGUUGCUAAAACCAUGUAUGUGGGAUUUAAAAAAACAAACACUUAAUGGAAAUGUUGUUCAGGCAGUCCUUAACUUAUUUGGAUUUAAACAUAUUGAAGUAUACACGAUGGGUUGUCACGACAUCUUGCACAGAUAUUUAUGAUACCCAGAGAAUAGAUUUUUAUGAACAGACCUGAUCCAUUGAAUGAUUGACAGACAUUUUGUGGGUUGCAAUGAAAUUUGAUUGGGAACUUUCAGGCUCACAUUAACUAUCUUCCAGUGAUAAUUUGAACAAAAGCUUUUUGAUUAAAAAAAAAAAAUCAAAUACUUGCAAAUAUAUUUACAUCCCCAGCUGUAAGUACUACAUGUAUAAUACAAACAAUAUUUAGUAAAUAGCAUUAGCAGCAGUUUUCACCAAACUAUAAUGUUAUUUUUCUCAGAAUCAGAAUAAGAAUCUGCUUCAUUGGCCACGUAUUCUUUUGCAUAAAUACAAAAAAAGAGAAAAAAAGUAAAACAGCUCUUACUAUAGACAUUUACCAACUUAAAAUAUGGUCGUAAGUAUAUAUCCCAAAAUGUGUACGAAUGUACAGAAAUGAAACAGCAGAGUGCAGAGUAAAGUGCAAACGGUGCAAAGAGCGGAAGCGUAGAACAGGAUCAGCAGAGCAUGCGGGGUGGAAAUUCCUGAGCUGGCGCAGAAAGUAUAACUUCUGCUGGGUCAUCUCCCCGAUGGGAUAUACAUCCCAGAAACAGUGUUAAUUUCGUCGACGAAAACUAUGACGAAAACCUUUUUUUCCAUGACUAAGACGUGACGAAAACGAUCUUAAAAAAUAAAAACUAUGACUAAAUCUAUUCUAACUUUCGUUAAUGAGACGAGACGAACAUGUUGGUGGUUGACGAAGUCACAAUACUUUUUUCCCCCUAAAUUCGCACGCAGCUAACAGACAACAGACAGGCAAAGUACGGCGGUUAUUAACGCGUCAUGAUGACGUCAUCCACGAACCCAGAACGCUCGGUCGCAUCGGUGCAGCGGUGGUUCUUGUGCACCAACUACGGACCACGGCAACUAUUUUACGCUUCGGCGAGUUUGAACGUGCGCUUUGUUAGUGUAGCUCAGCUGUCUCGGUUAAGGUGACUGUUAGCAGGCUGAAGUCGCGCUACUUCACAGAAACAUGAAGACCUGUUUAUCAGGCUGUCGGACCUUUCUGCUCUGUUCUCUGGCGACGGCAGGCAGCGUUUCCAGGGCUGGAUGAGACUGUCCGUUACAGGCUUCUCCAAACACGUCUAACGUAAUAAACUCAUUGCAGGUUCUGAAGCCAAGAAAAUAAUGUAUUGCAACGAUUGUAGGACGUUAAGGUCUCUUUUGUUGGGACAGUGGAAACAAUAAAGGACCAUGAAGUUUCCGGUGGCCAUGUCAAAAGCAUUGCAAGUAAACAGACAAAGUGUUGCGUUUAGGUCCCUGGUCCUCAUGAAGUUGUUAUACCUUUGCCAAUUUGUUAAAUUGCCUUGCAAAUAAAUGCUUUGCUAUUUGUUAAAAUCCAAAUCCUUUAAUGUAAUGAUUUUUCACAUGUCAUUUACAUUAGCUCACACAAACACUUCAACCAUUUGUUCUUGGCCCGGCUCCUCCUUCAAAUUUUACAACCCAUUGUGGCCCGCGAGUCAAAAAGUUUGCCGACCCCUGCUAUAGACCUGUCCUAGGAGGGACAUCUAAUGGACAACCAAGUACUGCAAGCUAUUAUUUAACUUGCAGUACUACAUACAUACUAUACAUACUAUUAUGCAGUUGUAGACACAACACAGGGGGUCCCUGGGCCUUAGAAGGGAAGAAACAGUUUAAUAUGGCUAUUAAAUGUGAAUAAAACUAAUUACAUUUUUGUCUAUUUUUCGUCGACGAAAACAUAACAUAACGAAAACAUAGACUAAAACUAAGAAGGAUUAAAAUGACUAAAUGUGACUAAAACUAAUAUGCAUUUUUCGUCUGAAGACUAAAUCAAAAAUAGCUGCCAAAAUUAACACUGCCCAGAAACCUGAAGGUCUCCACACACAACACAGUGUUGUUGAGUAUGAUGGGAGGGGGCAAUGUUCUGUACAUUACUAUUUUGAUUAAUCAAUGAAUCUCAUAAAAAAAGCAUUAAUUUCCAACCCUUGCUUUUAAAAACAACAUCUACAUGACUUUUUGAGUGGCGUAAUAGUCGCGUGACACAACAAAUGAAUAAUGAAAUCUAUUGCCAACUCUUUUCAUUUCUAAUCAAAUUUCAUCCAUUUUAUCGAUUCCUUGUUGCAGCCCUGAUUGUGUCUUCUGCAUACUUCAGAAGUCUGACAUUUGGGUCCUCAAAGGUGUAGUUAUUGUUGUUGAGUAGUAAAAUAAGUUUCAGGCAGGUACUUCUCAAUCAGCAAUCCAUCCAUCCAUUGUCAAACCGCUUAUCCUGCACACAGGGUCGCGGGGGGGCUGGAGUCCAUCCCAGCCAACUUCGGGCGAUAGACAGGGUACAUCCUGGAUUGGUCGCCAGCCAAUCAGCAACGGUAACUUCAAAAUAUGUAUUCCAAAAUCAUUUAACACGAUAGAAAGGAAAAGGCCCAUCCACUGCGUUUUUGGUAAUUACAGUACUUUUAGCCCCUCUAGCUUUUCAAAAUAUCAGCUGUUUAGAGGCUAAACUGAAGUAGUUCUCUCAAACAUAAUCAUCUUCACCAAAAUGACUCACAAAAAAGCUGGAUGCAUGAUAUCUGUCAAACAACCACUAAUUUAUAUUAUUUGGUUUGAACGUUUUGACACAGCAUUCCAUCACAUUUAUGUCUAAAUUGGACCAGGAUGGGAUAACCUGCUCAAGCGUACGCUCAUACGGGUGUUUUGAAUUUUUUAAAGAAAACUGGCCGAUUCAUAAGUGGAGAAGCUGAUUGAAUUGGAAACAAAUUUAACCGCCCCCUUGUUAUUAUGAAUAAUGUGUCAUCAGUCGUCUUGUGUCUUUCCUGUCCAUCCUGCAAAUCAAUCAGCAGCUGAAGUGGUCAGUAUCGCUUUAAAACUGAAACAGGGAUGGCUAAAUGGGGCCCAACAUAAUUUGAAAACAAGCCAGAGUUCAUGAUGAGGAAAGAGGGGGGGGGGACAUCCAUUCAUUCAGUGUCUGUCUUGCAAAUGGCUUUCCCUCAUCCGCCCAUGAAUGAGGAUGCACAAAAGGGUUAUAGACCAAUAUAUUACCCUCAGGAAUUUAGUGGUCGAAGUGGCUCAAGCAGCUGUGCUUUUGACCGCAUCAUAUUUACAAAAUUUGCCAACUUACCACUGACUGAGUGGAGGAGUCUUGCAUUGUGCACAAUCAAACACUAUGUAAUCUAAUGCAAUGUUUUCUUUCAUUUUAUAAUUUAAAAUAAAAAAUAAAAUAAAUCUCAAAAAGGAAAUUUCAUCAAAAUUCAUAGACAAACAGACAAUAAUGCAUACAGAAAACCAAUACACAGCAAAAGAAGACUGUACGACAUUAGACUAGAGCAACUGUAACAGGCUGCUGAAAGUGUCAGGCAGAACACACACACCUACAGUGGAAGCACAUAUACCGUGUACCACUGAAGCUCAUAUACAUACAUACACAGACAGAAGAGAAGAAAAAUAGCAACACUGAGCAAGUCAAGUGUAGAUAUAGGUGGCAGAACAGACACCACACCUGAGUGUCAACAAGCCAAUCCCUAAGGUUGUAUUUGUUGCGGCACAGCAUUCCACGAGUGAGCUGCCUUCACAGAGAAUGCCAAUUUGCUAAACAAGCUUGUGUGAAAUAACAUAAUCACCUCUUGAAGCACAUCUAGUAAGUCUGAUGCUUUCACUGCUUUGUUUAAUAUAAUCACUAAGUGGAGUUGGAGCAAUUCCAUUAGAUUCCCAAAUUUAAAAAAAUAGACACACAGUGAAUUUAAUGAGGUCCUUCCAACUCAGGAUAUGGUGUUUGACUGGAGGUGCAGCUGUUGGUGUACAGGGAGAAGAGCAGAGGGGAAAGAACGCAGCCUUGGGGGGAACCGGUGCUGAUGGUCCGAGAGGCUGAGACAUGUUUCCCCAGCUUCACGUGCUGUUUCCUGUCAGACAGGAAGUCUGUGAUCCACUUGCAAGUGGAGUCGGGCACGUGCAGCUGGGAGAGUUUGUCCUGCAGCAGAGACGGGAUGAUGGUGUUGAAGGCAGAGCUGAAGUCCACAAACAGGAUCCUGGCGUAGGUUCCUGGGGAGUCCAGAUGCUGGAGGAUGUAGUGGAGGGCCAUGUUGACAGCAUCGUCCACAGACCUGUUGGCUCUGUAGGCGAACUGCAGGGGGUCCAAGAGGGGGUCGGUGAGGGACUUAAGGUGGGUCAGGACUAGCCGUUCAAAAGACUUCAUGACUACAGAGGUCAGGGCGACGGGCCUGUAGUCAUUGAGUCCUGUGAUCCUGGGCUUCUUGGGAACAGGGAUGAUGGUGGAGGCCUUGAAGCAGGCUGGUACGUGGCAUGUCUCCAGGGAGGUGUUGAAGAUGUCAGUGAACACCGGAGACAGCUGGUCAGCACAAUGCUUCAGGGUGUGAGGGGAGACGGAGUCCGGACCGGCUGCCUUAUGGGGAUUUUGUCUUUUAAAGAGCCGGUUAACGUCUCUAUCCAGAAUAGAGAGGGUCGUUGCUGGUGGGGGAGGUGAAGGUGAUAUAGAUGAAGAGGCGUGAGCACCUGAUGGGCUGGGGGAGGGAGGGGAGGGGGACUGCAGCAGGUUGGUGGAGCUGUGGGGGAUGGGAUCAGGACAUUGUCUUUCGAAUCUGCAGUAGAACUCAUUCAGCUCGUCUGCCAGGCGGAGGUCAUUCAUGGAUUAGUGAGGUGUUUGAGGCCUCUCCAGACCGAAGCAGAGUCACUUGCUGAGAACUGUUGUUGGAGUUUCUCAGAGUACAGUCGUUUAGCAUCUCUCACCGCCUUGCUAAACUUGUAAUUUGACUCUGUGUACAGACAAAGUCUUUGUCCCCACUCCUAAAUCCGCAGAGAAACGUCUCCGUGAAGCACAAAACGGAGGAUGUAGAGAAGUCUCUGUCUCUCCUCACCAGCAGCUGAAUUUCGUCUAGUUUGUUGCACAGUGAGCGCACGUUGGAGAGAAAGAUGCCUGGCAGUGGUGUGCGAGAACCACGCUUGCGGAGUCUCACCAGCCAGCCGGCCCGUUUUCCUCUCCUACGGCGUCUCACCACGUGACGAAAGGUGAGCGCACCUUUGACUAUAAUGUCCAGUAAUUCCACGGAAGAUAGCAGGAAAGUUGAAAGUAACUCCGCUGGAGUUGUUCCACGGAUUUUCAAGCGCUCUUAACCUUAUCUCUAAGGCUGAGCCGAGCCACCUUACAGAGGAAACUGGUUUUGGCCGCUUCUAUCCGCAAUCUUCUUUCUUUGGUCAUAACCCGGACUAGAAGCUCCCAGUUUCGCUAAAAUACAAUAAAAUCCUAGGUGACGGAUGGGAGUAAACGUGACAGCAACAGACGCAGUGCAGGUCUUUUUUAAAAUCUCCCUCCAUGAAUCCAACCCGCAAAUGACGGCUUGUAUAAGCAAGCAGGGACGCAAGGAGGUGUGAAAAGACAUGCAAGGGUCUGUGUCGCUCCGAAAACGCACAAGCAUAAACUAGGCUUAAGGUACAAUAUUUUAGCUCGAUAAUAGUGUUUGCUCUAAAAAAAGAAACCUGCAUUAUGUAUUGUCCUUCUGUUCUGUAAUUUAUGCUCUACACGUAUAUCUAUAGAGGAGGUCAAUGCUGUCUAUCCCAAUAGGAGAUAAAGUGUAUGGGUUGUGAAUGUCUGUGUCUGUGGCAGAAUUCAAACAAAAAACCCAUGUCUCCUCUCCAUUCCUCUUUAGUUACCUGAACAAAUUGCAGCCACAAGCACAGACUGCAAGACACACUGUCAAAAGGUGCCUGAAAAGUUUGGAGCAAAAUUAAAUUGAGCAGGGAACAAUGCAAACCCAUUCCCCCUGUCAAAUCGGACAUGAUUUGAUUUUGUGCUUCCCACAAAGAGAAAUAACUACAAAAGGUUAACCAUGUUUGCAACCAAGAGAGGCCCUUUUUCAUAGAAAUUUUGACACAUUCCAUGAAACCUGUUCCACCGGAUAGGUUAAACAGAAAGUAAGUAAGUUAUUUUACCACAGGCUAUGUAUGAUAAGAAACUCUGUGCAAUGUAAUAAUUUCUCCACUGGCGAGUCUGCCACACUAUUGUUAUACACACACACCAUAUUUUCAUUAGGCGUACAACUAAAGCAGUUGAGUUUUUCUGAUACAUUCGCUCUCUUUAGCUAAAAGCCUCAUGCUACAGGCGUGAUGGCUGCACAAGGUUCUCCAGAAAUUUCUCAAAAGAUAUAUAGAUAAUAUCGCACUGAUACCCAGGACCUUUUUAGUGACUAUUGCUCUUAAAAAAAGUUAAUAAAACAUGAUACGUUGUUGGGGAACAUUUCUUCACAAAAAGACAUUUUGGUUGAUUAGACCCUAGUUGAUUUGAGGUUUGGUUCUUAGGUGUUCAAAUUCUAAUGAAACCUACAGCAGCCGUUUGGUUGAUGAAAUUAGCCCACAUCAUACAGCUGCUGUGACACAAUUCUGAAAACCGGCCCCAUCCAAAGACUCUACCCAUUGCUGCUUCAUUUUUUUCUAUUAGAGCAAUAUUUCUCUGCAGUUAAAUAAUGUAAGUCCCCGCUAGUCGGAUUAGUCCAGUUUUCAUUAUUGCAAAUCGAUUUUUUUUUUUCAUUAAGGUAAAUGCAUUAUUUAAACUUUGUUUUUAGUCUGAGAAUAUCUCCUGAGAGUAUGUGAUUUUUGACAGCCGUGCCCUGCGUAUCAUACAUUGGUUAAAAAAUCAUAGAAUACACCUUUUACUUUUGGGAAAUUUAGCAGCAACACAGGAAAUUUCAGAGUUAGGAUCACUGAAAUGUGAAUGACACUGGAUGAAAUGCGUGUGUCUCACGGCCAAUGCAUGAGACUACAGAACCUUGCAAUGAGUAUUUUUAGAUGUGUUUUGAGAAGACUACUGUAACGGACUGUCUCAUCCAGCAAAGGAAGCGCUCGUAAGCCGGUCCGCAUGCAUAUCUCUGCUUGCGGAGCGUCCUGCCGAACAGCCCUGAGCUUCAUCUCCAAGCACAUCUUGAACCGGCGACGCUUAACUCUCUGAAGUGCCGCGGAUAUAGCCUGCUAGCGAGACUGAGGAAGCGUGGACUCAGUCGCUUCAACGUCAAUGCGGUCCGUAGUCGGUGCACAAAAAACACUCUCGGUCCACCAAUGUAACCGAGCAUUCUGGGUUUGUGGAUGGUGCACUAACAGAUUAAUAAUUUCCCUCACCCCUGAACCCCCAGGGUGGGAACUCCUUUGGCCUCUAGGGCAACACUGAAGGGACAUACUAUCUCAAACAGAAAACACUCAACAUCAGUCACUACAAUAAAAAACUAUAGAAAGAGAUAUAUGGAAUUCUACCGGCCAAAGUGGUUAGUAGAAAUGACUGCUUUACCCGCCACAGCCACAUUUGGCGGGUGGCUAAUGUCAAGCCCUGGCUAUGACACUGUAGACCAUGUGCAAAAAGUUGUACUGCUUUUAGCUUUUAGCAUUCCAACGCAUUUUCAGCAGAAGAAGAAAACUCUUUUAGAAAAGAUGCAUUGUUGUGAUGGGACAAAUAUUGCAAGCCAAUUACAAAAAGCUUUCAAAAAGGUCUCCAAUGUGAUCAUGGCCUGAAGCUAGGUUUGCCCCUGUUGACAUUUCACAUGACCUUUUGAUUGAGUGUCAACAGCAGAACAUUGCCUGUGGUUAUUUAAGUCUUGAAUCUUAUGACUUUGCAUGCUUAGAAUAUAUUUUCAGCCACAUUCCCCGGCCUGGUCUUGGAUGAUGGAUGAUAAUUGAUACAACUAACUCACUAAUAGCGUCAAAGUGACUGAAAAGUACUUGAGCUGACAGAGACAUGUUAUUGUUUUACACCCCAGGAACUAGAUUCUCACGAACACAGUUUCUACUCUUGUGGAAUUAGCCCACCUUCUAUUACAGUGCAGUAAACUCAUUGUAACUUGACAACAGGAAAACCCGAGAGGGAGCAGUUUUACAUUAAUGCAUGAGCAUUGACUGAAUGAGUGCUACUAUUUUUCGAGUCCUGAUGUAAGCUUUUAUUUUGACUUGGAGAAAGCUGACGUUGGGGACAUGAACAACGGCCACUACAGGCUUGCUUCCGAAGUCAAAGUGCUAGACACUCACCCAGGGGAUAUUAACCAGGUAUUUGAAUUAAACAUCUGCAGAAAUAGCUGCUGGACAACUAGAGUUCUAUAAAAUCCCUUAUGGUUUUCCUAAAACUAUGAAAAGCAUAGUUUUUCUCCUCUGCAAAACCAAAAUUAAAAUUGCCAUUUGACUGAUGCUAUGGUGCUGGGAUUAACCCACUUGCUAUCCUUCAGUGAAGGAAAAUUAAGGGAAAUUAAUGUGACCAUUUAUCAACAACAAAUUAAGUUGGUUGUUCUUUUCUAAAUUAUCUACAUAUCUUUUAUUCAUGUUUCCUAUAUAUUUAACGUCUAAUAAAAAUGUGUGUAACAUAAAACUAUUUUGCUUAAGUCAGGAAAGACUGUGGACAUUUAAAGGUUAAUGAUGACUAUUGUCACACCUGUAUGUCAAGUUGGGUUUCUGUCCUGUCUCCAUGGUUGUUUUGUGACUUCCUUUUUUUUGGGGAAAUUAACUCUCCUCUCGUUUCAGGUUCCUUGCCCUUCCUCAUGUGUCACCAGUCUGAUUGUCUUCCCUGAUUCCUGAUUGUGUCCACCUGUUCCCACACUUCCAUUACCGGCCAUUACCCUGGCGGACCACCUGGCGAUGAACCCCAGCGAGCAAGCGGACCGGGGGGCGUCAUUUUGGGAACAGAAUGGCCAGACAGCCAGGCUGCGGGGGUGCGUUCGCGACCUUCAGGGUCAUGUGGUAUGUGUGCUGUGGUCAGUGGUGACGCGAGGUCAUCCAACGCUGUCUCGGGACGAUACUCGCUCAGCCUACGACCAAGUGAUAAGAAUUGAUGGUCAGCUGGCGCGCCCUGACACAGCGCAGUCAUAUCCACACUUUUCAUUGAUUAGAGACAGACCACAUAGAGUGAGUCUUGACACUUGGACGGGGCAGGAAAACACCCAGUUGCUAGUGCUGAAAAGCUGCCGGGAAAUUAUUUUCCAGGCGGCUCACUAUAACCCAAUGGCUGGUCAUAUGGGGUACGGGAAAACACUAGACCCGAUUUUAUUCGGGGGGACGCGCGCCGCUGGUGUGCGUCUGCCCGGAGUGUCAAUUAGUGAACCACCCGGCCAUUCUGGGGGCACCGUUGCGUCCUCUACCAUUGGUGGAGGCUUCGUUUGAACGAAUCAGCAUGGACCUCAUCAGGCCAUUUCACCGGAGCGGACGCAGAUAUCGCUUUGUGUUAGUCUUUGUGGAUAACGCAACCCAAUAUCCAGAGGCAGUGCCGUUGCGCAAUAUCUUUGCAAAAAGUGUCGUGCAGGCUCUGUUUCAGGUCAUUUCCCGGGUUGGAAUCCCAAAAGAGAUUCUGACGGACCAGGGCACCUUCAGGAAAAGGGAUACGGAACUUCACUCUUUUCUGUUAAAGAAGAGCCUUCACGGGGAUAAAUGCUGUUCGCUUCUUGUUGACAGUGGCGCUAUACUCCGGGUAGAAGACAACUCGUCCCCCGCGGCAGUUUUGACCCGUCUCACUCAGUGUGCGUUCCUUGUCCUGGUAAUAUUGAAAUUUCAACAUCAGAAUUCUCGAUUUGGAGUUGUGCAAAGAUUUAAAUCUGCAAAGAACUUGGCGCUGUGUUCCGAAAUCUGUAUUAGUCUGUUGUUGGUUGAUUAAGCACUCUAUUUAUGUGUGUCUUUUGACAUCUCCCACAGUGCUCCCUGCAAUAGGGUGUUGUAUGAGACAAAACACCAUUUGUGAUGAAGAGACACCUUUUAGAUGUGGAAUACAAAGCAUUUUUCUUUCUUGUACAUCUGCACCCCACUCUUCCCCCCCGCCUCGCCAGCUUCUCUAAUAAUCACUCUUUGCCUCUCUUUCUUCAGAUAGAAAGAAAAAGAGUAGCCCUGCUUGGCUUGUGCAGGUUUUCUUAUUUUCCUGGAGUCCCUUUGAUAUGUAAAUUAAAUGACUCCACUCACAAUCCCAGUGUUAGUGGUUCUGGCACUUUCUGCCUUAUGAAAAAAAAAGAAAAAAAGGUAUUGUCAAGAGAGAGGAAUAGAAAAGCCCCAACCACUGUCGGAUGAUUAUAGCAGGCCCUUUUGCUGAGCAUUAUUGAAUUUGAUAUGUCCACCAGCACAAAGGGAACCCUUUUCAAAUGUGUUCUUUAGGGAGAAGAUUUUGACAAAUGCCGGCUGUGUCUCAAAGGUCCCUUUGCUGCAGUUUCUGAAGAGUAAAUUUGGCUCACCCACCAGAAAAGUGACACAUUGUGACUGUAAAGAAUACAAAAUAAACCCCAAAGACCUAAUGAUCACAUUGGAUUGGGGGCACUUGAAAGCCGUCAAAGAACUUGUUUGGAUUUAUAAAUCUUAAUCCUCGCUCAACCACAGUGACAGCAGAAAAGAGAAGGUUUACACAACAGCUUCCCAAACAGAGUCACUUAUGGCUCCACAAAGAGGUCCGAUGUAAUGCAUUGCACGUAGUGAUAUCAUCACAGCUGGAUAAGAAUUGACAGCCACUGUGCCAGUGCUUAGCUGAUGAAACAUAAUUUGACUUGUGGGCGGGCUUUUUCAAGAAAAGUAAAGAAACUGAAACAAAGCAAAGCCUUCAGGGAGGUGACUUAAUUUUCCUAUUCACUUAAAGGUCUUUACUGUAACCUAUUUUAUUACUAAACACAUUAUUACUUUGAUAUGAUGACAUAGAUCAUUUUUGCCCUGGAUCAACGUGAUUAUCUACUGAAGACGGUCCUGUGUGAAAUAUCUUCAGACUUAUUAUUUCAGUUAAUUUCUACAUAUUAAUCAAGUUUCCCCCAAAAAAAUCUGCAGCAAGAACUGUGAUUAUGUUAACUGUUUGUUUUGUCCUGCUGGUUUUUAAUUUUGAGGGGGACAAGCUAGAAGUGUGAUAAUGAAAAGUUAUCUACUCUUGUUAAGCCACACCCCUACGGAGAAAGCCAUUUAACAUUUCCUCUGCAAACCUUAAUCACCACUUUCAAUCACAAUGCACAAAACAACAUAAACAAGCGAGGGUUAAUCAUGACCUGUUGCUGGCACCGUCAGGUGAAGUGUAAACAAACCGUAGGGAACAUAAUUAUAGGAUGACACUGUCGGAUCACGUUGCAUCCAUUCCACUAGCAUUGCUGUUGUGCUGUCAGCAGUUGAAAACCAACUCUGAGGCAUAAAUGAAAAUCUACCAGCUGUGUCUCUUAAGCAGGAUGUCACGAACGGACAAUGGACCUGAACCCAGAUGCACGACCACAAAAAUCAAGGUUCAAAAUCAACGUUUAUUGCAAAAGACCAAAAAUAAUAAUCGCUCUUGGAAGACGAAAAACCCUUUUACAACAAAAAAUGAUCUAGAAACUAAACGCUAGGCUAGAAAAAGAACCAACAUAAAUCAAGCCUGAACAAAGUACAAAAAAGUAACAAGACUUGGGCAACGCGGGUUCUCUUAUCACAAGGGACAAGACAAUAUACAAACACACACACACACACACACACACACACACACACACACACACACACACACACACGGGGUAAGGGUACAGGUGGAAACAAUCAGGGAAGGAGCAGGUUGCCUGAAAUGAGAGGAAGGUUAACUUUCAAAAUAAAAGAGGAAACCACGAAACAACAUAAGACAUGAGACAACCUGAUUCAGCAAUAAAACUGGCUCUCAUUAAGAACCGGCAGCGCAAGUGAACACUGCACACUCUUUAUAUACUUUAUAAUAUCUAUAAAGAAACAAGAAACUAACUGUUCGUCCAUCAUAAUCAUAGUAUAAGACAUUUCACUUCACAAUAGACUGAAGACAUUUAAUUAUAAUUUAGAAAUGCACCACUUUGAAUUAAUGUGAUGAUAAUGUGCACGUCUGAAGUAUCAGGUCUAAAAGAAAGAUAAAUACAUAAUUAGUUUCUUUACCUUUUCUAAUUUGUUAGUCUCUACGGCAUCAUACGAGGUCGGACCUCUUAACUUUCUCGUCACAUUUGUGUAACUGCUGCAGCAGCACCAUGUAAAACAUGCAAAAAGAGAGCGAUGUUUACUGUAUCUUCUGCCAUCUAUUAUCAUUGUAAUAGAUUCUGUAUCUCAAUCAUCAUCUUUUAUGUGGUGAGUCAGUUUAAUAAACAAUAAGACACUGUGAAAGAUGUCAUUGAAGUUAUUGAAAUCCUUCUCAGAUUAGAUGUCAGGAAAACAUAUACACCCGAAAUCAGAGCAGCACCAGCAAAAUGAUUGACACGCAGCAUGAAACCUGUUGUAUCCCGAUGCAUAAACAUACAAUCAUAAUCAACCUCCACUGUUGAAGAAGGUAUUUUGAAAGUCAAAAUGAAACCAGGACUGUUCGAACUGCCUCUACACUGCAAACUUUUUUUCACGCUUUGAGCAAAACAUAAUCAUUUUAGAAACUGAAACUAUUUGCAAAAAAACAACAAAAUCCUAGGAUAUAAAUUGAAAAACUAACGUAAUAACUGUAAAACAACUACAUAUAAAUGUAGUAAACAGUUUCUGACUGGAAUUUGAUUUUUAGAACGUUAUAGUUUUAAUAUAUCUAUAGAACAAAUAAAAUAAGUGUAUUUGGGAACAUGCAACACCUUUUUGCGUUGUGAAAGAAAAUGCUCCUGGAAGAAUUUUCUGUCUGUUUGCUCGCCUGUGCAUGCUCAGGGUGGAAGGUGUUUGUGGGGGUGUUAACUGUACUUCACCAUGAAUUGGAAGGCAGAUUUCUUAGAUGAACAAAAGGACAGACGCUUUUGGAAGAAACACAAUGGCUUCCGCAGUGUCAACAGACUGCUAGAUGAACUUGUCCAUUACUUGGCAUUGUGUGAAAUGUCACAUGACAGUGCUAUGUGUCUUCGUGAAAGGAUAAUCACUGAGUAACACAUUUCCUUUACAACAUCUUUCUUUUUUAAUAUUAUUGUCAAGUCUUUGAAUUGAAUCAUUUUUGACGAAUGAUGUGCGUGAGGUUAGAAGAGGGUUUUAUUUCUCUAAAUAUGGUAAUAAAACAGAUCUUCCAUUUGGCCUUCAUGGGGUCACUGAAAGUCCAAUCUCUUUGCAGUGUGGUGGUUUGGACAAACUGUUGAUUUAUCAGCAAGCAGGCAAAGAAACCUUGUUCUGUCUAUCAAAUUUCUCCACUCCGUUUCAGCACUACAGACAGUACAAUAUGUACUAGUGAGAAGGGAACAAUAAAAGACAUGACUCAUCAAUCAGUCAACGAAAGAAGGCAUGCUCAAUUAGAUUCCAUAUUAAUUACCACUCCAGUCGCAUGCCUACCAGAGUUCUUUCAAUUGUAAAGUCUUUUACAAGGGGAUGGCUUCCCUAAUGUCAAACUACAAUGUACUUCAUAACCUCCUGGUCUGUAAAAUUGUACAAAUACGUGAAUGCUCAAGAACUCAAGGUAUAUUUUAAUGCAUCUACAAAAGAAGGUAAAAAAGAAAAGGUUAUUCUUUUGAUGAGACUUGAACUGUGGUAGGUCCCCUCAGUGCCCAUAAACGCAUUCGAUAGCUGGGUCUAUUGUUUUUGAUCGGAGUGGAGAAAAAAAGAAUCCUUCACACACGCACUUAAGAUAGUAUAACUUGGAAGUGCAUGCAAUUCUCCUCUAGAGAAAUUCGUUUUGUUUGAUUAUGGCUUAUGAAACCACAACAUAUUCAAGCAGUUAUCUCAGGCAUCUGUCAGCAUCUGUCCCCAGCAGUAUCAACCUCAUUCUGUCAUAAUGUCAUAAAGAUCUGGAGCCCACAAAUACUUUGUAAAGAUUUACCUGAAUAAUCUUUUAGUGUCCUCUAUUGGUUCAUCCGUUUUUUUUCCGGAGGUUUUAUUUUCUUGGUUUGUGGUUUUCUGUUGUGUGUUUUUCCUUGUCUUAUCUUUUUCAUUCGAUUUGGAGGACACAUUUGAUCUAUCCUUUGCGGCCAAGUAUAUCCCAUCAUGAAGUGCGGGCCAACGAGGAUUUCAUUUGGUUCAAAACGGAGGCAGUUGAUCUGACAGCGGGGGAAGUGUUCACUUUAAAAUGUAACGUUAAUUAUAGAAUUCCCUUGAAUAUAGAGGUUAUGUCAUAUUAUAAUAAUAAUAUGAAACAAUUCCAUCUUAGUUUAUAAAAUGGCAUAAGUUACGUGACGUUGGUAACCAAUGUUGUGUUUUAAAUACACAUAACACAGGAGAAUACACAGCUCUUAGUUAUAACGUUAUCCUGCUUCCCCCGAUUCUGUCCCAAAAAGCAAUGUGAAUGAAGAUUUUGUUUAUUAAGGAAGGAAAUGGGUGAGCCGGGAGCAGAGGAAGUCAGAGUUCCCUCACUACGGAUAAACAUGUUUUAAUGUAUAAUGUCAUAACAAAGUUUUAGUUUAAAUAUAUAGUUUUUCAAUACACAUUUGAGAACAAACUGUUUUUAGGUGUUACUCCGUCACGGUAGCGGAAAGCUUGAUUUUUAUUUGCUAAUACAGCUAUUUUGAAUCCGUUUCAGAAAGAAAACCCUUCUUGUCCUCUUCCUCACACCUCCUAGCUCUACUUUACUUUUCUUCUACGCCUUUCCCCUCCUUUUCUUGCCUUUUGUCCUUCCCCUCACAUCCUUUUCUUUCUUCUCCCUCUUAAUCUCUUCCCCAACCCUUUGAUUUCCCGCCACACUUGCACCACUGUUCUUCAGUCAUAUCCCUCUUCAAGAUGCAAUUGGUGUCAAUCAUGUUAUCGUGUGCGCUGACAUUGCAGCCCAAUCCGUCAAUUUUUUUUGAUACGUAUUACAUAUGUAUGUAUAGCUUCCACUCACAAAAGGACAUGCAGUGUUUUUUUCUACGCCCAGCAGGACUAGAUGCUGUGGAAAAUUUUAAUUUGUAAGCAAAAAAAAUGCUGUUCAAAACUAAAUCUCCCUACUUUAAAAGGGCCAUUCAGUACACUCAAAUUAAGUGUGUUAUAAACAGAAAAAUAGCCUUGCUACAUUUGCAAUGUUGUGUGUUUGUAUUGUUAACAAAUGUUGCAAACAAAAAUUGUAUUGCUGAAUUUGUUGAAACAUCUGUGUUAUUUACUUUGGAUGAAAUUACCAGCCAUGUUACCAGUGACAAGUUAGCACCAGUUCUAAUCAGCGAGAACGAGGCAGAUUUCUGAGUUACGAAUGUGGUUUCAGAAGACGGCUUUAAGAUUAUUUAUUUUUUUACAAGGCAGGUUGAGGGAAUGAAAACAAUAAAGUAAACUACAGUAUGUCAUCACAAAACCAAUAACACAAACAACAAAGAAUAUUGGCUUGGCUUAUGUAAAAAUGUCUAGGAGUAUUUUUUUAACAAUGGUCAAUUAACUUUGACCAGUUUUCUCAAUGCAAAGUAACAUUAACAAAAAGAAAACCAGUCUCUGGACCCCUACAGUACUGAUGGAUUUCAGAAGGGAAAAUGCAAUUCAUUAAUCUCUUAUCAUUUCCAUCACAUCACUAGCGGAUGACUCUAAUUGCAGCAGAUCCGAUUUUUUCUUUGUUUUUAAUUAAGACCUAUUGCCACCUCAUUCAUCAUCCAGGUGAGCAACCAACCUACACACUCCUUACCUGUCCUUCUUACAUCCCCUCUUCAACGGGACGGACCCCUCCCUCCUCUCUUACAUAACCCUCAAUUUUUUUCUCUCCAUAUUCCUUUUCAUCAUCUUCUUCACUCCCCUUCUUUUUGGAACACCCUUACUCUUCCCUCUUCAUCUCAUUCAUCUCUCCUCCAUUUCCCCUCCCUGCUUGCCUUCCUCCCUCCUUCCAACGUGAUCUCCAAAACCUGUCCGUAAAAAUGUAUACGAAAAUCUUGAACAUACAAAUUCGUAACAAUACAUACGAACUGGCGGUGGUUAACCACGCCCCUUGAGUGAACAACAUGGCGGACCAUGUUGGAUUCUUGAGUGAACGUCUCUCCGCCAUGUUGGAUUUUUUCGUCCUCUUACCACCAAGCCUUUGAAAUCUAGAUCAUUACCUAUGUGCUCUACUCACCCUCAAUGACUUUCUAAUUUUCCUUCCAUCAUUCUCUUCAUCCGCCUAACAUUCAUCCACCUCGUUUGUCAGCUUCACCGUUAUCACAGCAUUGUUGUCCAAACAAACCGGAGAAGGCCCCACAAAGCUGGAGUUCUCCCCUCCUAAUCCACCACUUCAUCCCUCUGUCUCUCCAAUGCUCCCGCUCAUUAUCUCCUCUGCAACGGUCCCCAUGGUGAUGGAGCAGAUGGAAAAAUCCAGGACAUCCUCGAGAAGUAGUGAUAUCUUUUCAGAAAAAGGAGAGUGAGACCAAUAUAGAGAAAGGAGCCACAUAAUGGAAUGAGAAAUAGGAGAGAAGUGGAGAUGGAGACCGUGGCAAAAGAAGAUGAAUACUGAAUACUUCAACAGAAAUGGAGAAGAAAAAUAUCAGGGGGUGGUGGAGAGAGAUGAUGACCUAAAAACAAAGACGCUCAAAAAAAGUAAAAGAGAAUAGAGAAGGAGGGUGUAAUAACUUUGUGAGUAGUACCAUUAAAAUGUAAUAUUGAAAGCUUGUGCUAAUAUAAAAUGGAUAUUGUACUUGGAAGUGCUUUAUGUGACAUUCAAAGGCUAAAUUGUACCAUAAUCACCAAAGCAAGCAAGAGUGAGUGGAUUUUGUUGUGAGAAUGUCGCGUUGUUAAAUACUAAUUUUCAAACUGCUUAAUAAUUGGAGACCAUCUGCCAUAAAACCUCAAUAACAACCCUGCUACGAGCACAAUGUGAGCUUAUUAUGGCUUGUUACUCAAGCAGAACAUUGCUUACACUGCAUGUCUUCACUUAAAGUGGAUUAAUUCUGAUUAAUACAUCUAUUCAGAAUGACGACCGUGGCAUUUUAGUUUCCUUUUUUUUGGUUUUCAAGUCCUCGCCUCUUCUGUCUUCUCUUGAUUACUUUCUACCAUUGUUUGUUUCCCUGCCUUUUGGUUACCCGUCUGUGAGAUUGUUUUUCUUUUGUUUUCAUUAAUACCUGUGAACUACUUGUCUUUUUGUAUAUGCGUCGUUGCUGUAGUUGUGUGUACCUGUGAUCUGCAUUUUGGACUCACAGUUUGAGAUCCUUUUGGUAAUCAAUUGUUGUACUGCAAGAGGCAACCUGCUUGCAUCUGCAUUUUAAAAUGUAUGUAAAUGAUGUACUCAUUAUCGGACAAACCCUGAUAUUUAUACAACCAGGUUGUUUAUUUUUCAUAACGUUUUCUUCAUACUAUCACAUAAAUGCACAACAAAACCUCAAGGUGCUUUACGAUUUUGGAGGUGUGUACAGUGUGAGCCUCUGCUACCUGCUAUUAAAUAAGUAUUGUGAACGAAAGAAAGCAUGUUUAAUGUAUAACCCGAACAUAGGAAGAAAAUAGCUGUUUAGAGUCUGUGCAGUUUAGUGAUCAUUUUGCAUAAUUUUGCCUUUUUUAGUUACUUCUCAGAUUACAUUCUCAGAUAAGCGACUCAAUUUAAUACGGGAAAUCCUGAUUGCUGCAGACGCACAAAAAAUGUCUCUGCGUUGAAUGCUCACAUUUCAGGACCUUUCAGCCGAGAUCGAAGGUAACUCUUAAUGCCAUGUCGGUGACAUAGCGGCUAAUACUGUUGCACAUACUACUUUUUCAGUGAGCAGGUAGACGACCUCUGUUGGCAGGGUGAUGAUAAGAAGAUUCAGCAAUAAUAAAAAUUCAAUUUGAAGGAAGGAGUGGAAACAACUGUGGUAAGGGAAGAGACAAGAAAGAAGGAACUGGGGGGAAAAAGCAAAUACAGUCAUUCAAGAAAUAACAGGUGGGUGGACACACACACACACACCAUCUGAGCCCUUCGUUACUAAGCUCCUGUUCUCUCAAGAGUUGGAGAGACAGAGGGUGUGCGAGUGUAUGUGUUGGCGCAAAUCCCAGGUACAGUGGGCGGAAUUUGUGUAUUUCUCUUCCUCUUAAUAUCGAAAUGCUCUCUUUGUUUGGAAGCGGGGUCUACAUGUGUGUGUGAGAGCGUGUGUGUUUGUGAGACUUUUUAAAAGAAUGUUCCUGUGCGGUUUCAUUUGUGUGGUCUGUAAUCUAAGUAUUUAAUUUGAAUCCUCAUUAAAGUAGUUUAGUUACCUUAACAUUGAGCGUCUGAAUUGUGCCGUUUUUAAUUUGUUUUUGACUGUAAAAUGCAGCCAAAGCAACCGUUGUCAUAUGACACAUGCUAUAAACCUUGGCUCUAGAGCAGUAUUUGCAUGACUUUCAGGGCAUAUCUGAUAUCACUACCAGGACUGAACAGUAUUUCCCUCAAUAUCUAAUUCUUCUUAAUUAUUUAGUCGCUUUCAGUACUCUGGAAAAAAAACUGUGAACAACAAAAAAAAAUUCAAAACCUUUCUAGUAAGACAGCUCUCUGCACUUUAAUUUGUUCAAAUAAGUUCUCAACGUAAAGAAAAGCUGUCAAACUGUUACUGGACAGAACAUUUGAAGCCAAUUUUGAACUAACUGCUCAUGCAUCUUUGUACUAAUAAUUAAAGGAAUUUGACACGUCAAUCCAAAAAUGGUGACCUAUUUGUAUAACUCCAAGCAAUGAUCCAUUUUCGCCCGGCCUUUUCAUUAUCCCAGCAAUGCACUCAUGA